GACAGAGGGUGCAAACGUUGUUCGGAAUUACUGGGCGUAAAGCGUGUGUAGGCGGCUUCGUAAGUCGGAUGUGAAAGCCCUGGGCUCAACCCAGGAAGUGCACUCGAUACUGCGGAGCUUGAGUCUCGGAGAGGUUGGUGGAAUUCUCGGUGUAGAGGUGAAAUUCGUAGAUAUCGAGAGGAACACCGGUGGCGAAGGCGGGUCUCUGGGCCGAUACUGACGCUGAGGAGCGAAAGCGUGGGGAGCAAACAGG
rnacentral:rRNA from 1 species